UACGUAGGUGGCAAGCGUUGUCCGGAUUUACUGGGUGUAAAGGGCGUGCAGCCGGAGAGACAAGUCAGAUGUGAAAUCCACGGGCUCAACCCGUGAACUGCAUUUGAAACUGUUUCCCUUGAGUGUCGGAGAGGUAAUCGGAAUUCCUAAUGUAGCGGUGAAAUGCGUAGAUAUUAGGAAGAACACCAGUGGCGAAGGCGGAUUACUGGACGAUAACUGACGGUGAGGCGCGAAAGCGUGGGGAGCAAACAGG
rnacentral:rRNA from 1 species